AACCAUUCUCACCUGCGGCUAGACCUGCGGAAGGAUCAUUACCGAGUGCGGGCCCUCGCGGCCCAACCUCCCACCCUUGUCUCUCUAUACCUGUUGCUUUGGCGGGCCCACCGUGGCUAGGUCGCCGGGAGACGAACGUCUCCGGGCCCGCGCCCGCCGAAGCGCUCUGUGAACCCUGAUGAAGAUGGGCUGUCUGAGUAGUAUGAAAAUUGUCAAAACUUUUAACAAUGGAUCUCAGAU
rnacentral:misc_RNA from 1 species